ACGAACGCUGGCGGCGUGCUUAACACAUGCAAGUCGAACGGGAUCCUGGCUUCGGUCAGGUGAGAGUGGCGAACGGGUGAGUAACGCGUAGGCAAUCUGCCCUUGGGUGGGGGAUAGCCCCGGGAAACCGGGAUUAAUACCGCAUGACGCGUCGGGGUCGCAUGGCCUUGGCGUUAAAGAUUUAUUGCCCAGGGAUGAGCCUGCGUUGCAUUAGCUAGUUGGUGAGGUAAUGGCUCACCAAGGCGACGAUGCAUAGCUGGUCUGAGAGGAUGAUCAGCCACACUGGGACUGAGAUACGGCCCAGACUCCUACGGGAGGCAGCAGUGAGGAAUAUUGGACAAUGGGCGCAAGCCUGAUCCAGCAACGCCGCGUGAACGAUGACGCUGCUCUGCAGUGUAAAGUUCUGUAAGGAGGGACGAAGACCGGGGUAUUGCCCCGGGGGGACGGUACCUCUUAAGUAAGCACCGGCUAACUCCGU
rnacentral:rRNA from 1 species